rnacentral:rRNA from 1 species
UACAGAGGUCCCAAGCGUUGUUCGGAUUCAUUGGGCGUAAAGGGUGUGUAGGUGGCGCCGUAAGUCGGGUGUGAAAUUUCGGAGCUUAACUCCGAAACUGCAUUCGAUACUGCGGUGCUUGAGGACUGGAGAGGAGACUGGAAUUCAUGGUGUAGCAGUGAAAUGCGUAGAGAUCAUGAGGAAGACCAGUGGCGAAGGCGGCCACCUGGACGGUAACUGACGCUGAGACGCGAAAGCGUGGGGAGCAAACAGG